rnacentral:tRNA from 19 species
CCGAUGUAGCUCAGCUGGCUAGAGCAGCUGAUUUGUAAUCAGCAGGUCGUGGGUUCGAGUCCCUCCAUCGG